rnacentral:rRNA from 1 species
AUUGAACGCUGGCGGCAGUCCUAACACAUGCAAGUCGAACGGUAACAGGAAGCAGCUUGCUGCUUCGCUGACGAGUGGCGGACGGGUGAGUAAUGUCUGGGAAACUGCCUGAUGGAGGGGGAUAACUACUGGAAACGGUAGCUAAUACCGCAUAACGUCGCAAGACCAAAGAGGGGGACCUUAGGGCCUCUUGCCAUCGGAUGUGCCCAGAUGGGAUUAGCUAGUAGGUGGGGUAACGGCUCACCUAGGCGACGAUCCCUAGCUGGUCUGAGAGGAUGACCAGCCACACUGGAACUGAGACACGGUCCAGACUCCUACGGGAGGCAGCAGUGGGGAAUAUUGCACAAUGGGCGCAAGCCUGAUGCAGCCAUGCCGCGUGUAUGAAGAAGGCCUUCGGGUUGUAAAGUACUUUCAGCGGGGAGGAAGGGAGUAAAGUUAAUACCUUUGCUCAUUGACGUUACCCGCAGAAGAAGCACCGGCUAACUCCGUG